rnacentral:rRNA from 1 species
GCGGAGCAAUCCGUCACCUGAGGAUGGGCCUGCGUCUGAUUAGGUAGUUGGUGAGGUAACGGCCCACCCAAGCCGACGAUCAGUAGCCGGUCUGAGAGGAUGAACGGCCACAUUGGGACUGAGACACGGCCCAGACUCCUACGGGAGGCAGCAGUGGGGAAUCUUCCGCAAUGGGCGAAAGCCUGACGGAGCAACGCCGCGUGAGUGAAGAAGGUCUUCGGAUCGUAAAGCUCUGUUGUCGGGGACGAAGGAACAGGUUAGGAAAUGAGCCUGUUUAGACGGUACCUGACGAGGAAGCCACGGCUAACUACGUGCC